UACGGAGGGUGCAAGCGUUAUCCGGAUUCACUGGGUUUAAAGGGUGCGUAGGUGGGAAUGUAAGUCAGUGGUGAAAUCUCCGUGCUUAACAUGGAAACUGCCAUUGAUACUAUGUUUCUUGAAUUUUUCUGGAGGUCAGCGGAAUAUGUCAUGUAGCGGUGAAAUGCUUAGAUAUGACAUAGAACACCAAUUGCGAAGGCAGCUGACUACAGGGAUAUUGACACUGAGGCACGAAAGCGUGGGGAUC
rnacentral:rRNA from 1 species